rnacentral:lncRNA from 1 species
UUUGACAUAAAAACAAACAUAAAUAAAUAAAACCAAAAGACCUUGAUAACAACUAAAAACCCUGAAUUUAGUGCCCUAAAUGGAGGAAAUAGGGAUCCAUAAGUCCUGACUCUAAUAUUAAAUAGGUAAAGAAAAUCAGACAAAUUCCCAUCAUAUCAGUCCAAACACAUUUUGAUAUUGCCAUUUCCAAGCAUUGAUUGCAAGACUAUGACUCCUUUUAUCUUGUUACAUCCUAAACAAAUCAAAGAUAUAGUAUAUAACAUACUUGGAUGUGUAUGCCCUUUAUUCAUGUGAUGAGAGAAAGGUUUGGGUGUCAAAAAGUAUACCUCGCAUGCACGACCAAGUAUGCCAGCCUUCCCUGGGGAUAAAGCUCUGAACCAACACUUUUCCUUUUGUUCUGUGUUCAUUAUUAUUCACAAACAUCAACAUGGACAAAGUAGUUUGUACUGGGUCCUGAUAUAUUUAUAUGAUCCAACAUAUCAAGACUUAAUCGGUUAACAUAGACAAAUUCAGACGGAGCACUACUUGGGUUGAUUCAUUUAAAAGGCAGAAGUAGAAAUUUUAUUAUUCAUAUUUUGUAAGAACAAACUCUUAUGGUGGAGGUCAAUAACAUCGACGAUAAAUGGGUGGAUUUGGGCAUGAAACAUUUAUUUAUCUCCUAAAAAAAUAGGUCAUUAUCCAUCUAUUUAAAGAAUAUUUAUCAAAAAUCACAUCUACCUUGACAGUCAGGGCCGUGUGCAACGAAUUACACAGAUAGGGAAACACUCUAAUGGCAGGAAGAAAAAAUCUGUCAUAGAAAUUUGAUUUGUCAUAUUUUACAAGAACAAACUCUUAGAGUAGAGGUCAAUAAGAAUCAAUGAUAAAUGGGUGGGUGGAUUUGGGUUAUAUGAAACAUUUAUUUAUCUACUAAAAAUAAAUGGGUCAUUAUCCAUCUUUCUAAAGAAGUUGGGUCAUGGGUCAGAUCAUUACGCAUAAGACAUGACAAUAAAAUAUUUUAAUAAGUGGCAUCUACCUUGAUAGUCGGGGCCGUCUGGAACGAAUUUAUGAUGAUAUUAAAACAAAAGAAUGGCAGACAAAAAAAAUCGCAUGCGGUUUAGGAUGUAUUGUCCUGUGGUAGUUUGAAAAGGAGAGAGAUCUCCACCAAUUAUGUGAUUCCAUGACUUGUAAUAACCCAACGCAUCUUCUUCUUCUUCAUCAGCAUACACAAGACUCACCCCACACUCCUUUACAAGUUCAUAAUAUGGAUCAAGUUUACGCCUCCGCGGUGUAACAGUGAUAGUAAUGCGGUCACCAGCGUCCAUCUCAUUCAUCCCAAAUAUCCAAUGACUUAAUAUUACCCAACAAUUCAGAGCUUUACUAACCAUGGAACGUUCGUAUAUCCACGUAUGGUUUUUUGUUAUAUUACUAAUUGUUAUCAUUGGAACCCAAGGUAAAAGAUCAUCAUCUGAUAAAUCCAACCCCUCAUCAGGAAGGUUUAAUGUGUGCAGAGAGCAGAAGUUGAGCCCUGUAAGGAGGUUGCUUGGAGAUGAUGAUGAUGAUGGGAUGGUAAAUGAUAUUGAUGGCCCCGUGCUUCUAUGCCUAAAUCAACUCAGCAUCUCCUCCGCCUCAUACCUUGUGCUGAAUAUUCCAAAUUCAUAAUACAUCCUCUACCAAACACAACCACCUUAAUUAAUCACCAUAACAAUUAUAUUAUACGUAUUCACAUAAAGUAACUAGACAAAACCUGGAUUUCAGAUUUUGAAGAAUUUGUUGCCACGCGCCUUUCGUUGAGGAAGUCUAAAUUAGUCCAGCCCAAGCUACGUAACACCUUUUCUUCAACGGUCAUCAUUUCUUGGAUUUUGAUCAUACCUUCAAUUUCGUAAUUGUUCACCCCAAGUGAAGAAGACAUCCAGUCUGACCAGUAUGUUGGUAAGUGGAGUGGGGACAUUUCUGGAACAAAAACAACUUUGUCUGUAUGAUAAUCAACAACAACAUUCAAAAACAACUUUUUUAGUGUACGUGGAGGAUACGCGACUAACUUCAAAUAUUUACACUCCUUCAUACUAAGUAUCUCAAGUCUAGGAAGGGUUCUCAAACAACUAGGCAUGGAAUUGAAAAGAUUGCCAUCUAAAUAUAAUUUCUUUAACAUGGAUAAACAACUGAAGUCCAAGGGAAAGGAUUCAUUGGACAACUUGUUCUUUGUAAGUGACAACGUUACCAAAGACCUUGGUAAAGACAUUGCCGAGGACUUCAAAUCACGUGGUAUAGAACCAACAAAAGCUCUGUUUAUGCCAAUGUUGGUAACCGUGCACAUUUCCACUGAAUCCAUAUCCAUAUUCUUGAUUCGAGAUUCACCAAGAUUACAACCAUCUAGCAACAUUGUUUUAACAUUCUCUAACAUUCCUAUAUUUCUUGGAAGUUGUUCAAGCUUCGUGCAGUAGCUGAGAUCGAUGAGGAUAAGUUCAACACAAUGCCCAAUUGAUUCACAAACAUCACCCAAACCAAUACAAUUUCUAAGUAUUAACCUCUCAAGCGCAGGGAGUUGGUCAAAGUCGCCAACACUAUGAAGUUGUUUACAGAAACUUAAAUUAAGAAUCUUCAGUGAACCAAACAAAAUUUUCUCUUUACAGGGGAAUUAAUUUCUUUCUUUAGCCCUUCCAUGCACCCUUCCCAAUAUGCCACAUCCCGAUUAUGUAGAGACUUGCCCAAAACUUCAAGAGCCAACGGAUGUCCUUGACAAUACUUCACAAGCUUAUCUAACACCUCUUCUUAACCAGCCUUGGGAUGGUUACACAUGAAUGCAUGGGAACACAAAAGUUGUUGUGAUUCAAUCCUAGAUAAGCCUUCAAGGAAGUGUUCUACAUGCUUGGCUUUACUGUUUGUUUUGAAUAGUGCACAACUCUCUAUCAUCCAUCUGUCCUUUGUUGUUAUUAUAACUUUGCUUCCAGAAUGAAAACCUUUUCUUCCAAGUAAUGCAUCCAACUGAUCAAUACUAUUGAUAUCAUCAAGAACAAGAAACACCCUUUUUCGAGCUGCUGCAUUCUCUAUCAUUGAUGUGUAUUUUGACACAUUAAAAACUUGAAUUGGACAUGUUUUUGAAAUGUCAGCACACAGCUGCUUUUGUACAUCAAGCAACCCAUUAUACUUUCCAGCACAUCUCCUACCAAUAUCUUCAAUAUAGCUGCUUGUGUGGAAUUCACGCCAACAUAGCCCAUAGACAUGUUUGGCUAAAGAUGUCUUCCCGAUUCCACCUAUACCCGAAAUAGUGAGUAUGUCUGCUGUAUGUGAGGAUCCAUCUUUCAACCAUGAAGUUACAAAGUUAAUUGAAUCAUUCAUCCCAAUAAGUAGUGGUCGAAGAGUCCCUAAGGUUACACGUAAUCUACGGUAGAUUUCCUUCACAAUUUCUUCAAUAAACUCCAUCUCAAACCUGAAACUUGAUUUAAUAAAAAUUACAAAACACAAUCUACAAAACUAACAAAUCAUAUUUGGAGAUCUAAUUUAUAUAAAGAUCCAAAGCAAAAUUAUAUCACAAGUGUUAGUGUUUGAUAUAUGUAGAAUAUGGUUUAUUUGUUUCUAGGUUACUUUAUUUAUAUUUCCUAGGUACUAGAUGAUUUAUAAAUGAGGGUUUAAUCUCUUUAUCAAUGAGAAAAUAAUAUUCCACAAAUCUCUUUAUUAGUUUUAAACUUUUAAUUAAGUUCUUUGCAUCAAACCAUAUAGUCUUUUCAUUUUAACCAUAUAAUUAUCUAAUGUGUAAGGUCAUAAAUAUAUAUGUAUAAUAAGACCAAAAUUACCAAUGUUAUACAAGUUUUCACUAAUAGGGCUUGUAACUUCACUAUGUUUCUACAAGGCUAUCAAACUUAACUAUCAAUGUGGUAAGUUAGAAAAAAAAACUAGGAGGUUAUCCUUUACUAUUUACAGGUUAUCCUUUACUAUUUACAACAUAAGUAUUAAUAGUUGUUGUAUAGGAACAUAUUCAAAAUUUGGUUUUAAUAAAAGGGCUAAUUAGUUAUUCAUGCAACAACAUUUCAUCUUUUUCCCGGCGUAUGCAACAACGUUAUGUAUUGUAACAACCCAAAAUUCAAGACUAAAAAUUUAUUUUAAUAAAAUAUUACUUAAAGUAAAAUCAUUGAUUCAAAGCAUAAUUAACAUAAUAGUUUUCAAACACAUGUUCAUUAUUAGAGUAAAACAUUCCCAGGUUGACAAUCCUAUGGUGUGUGCCAUGCGAUCACCCCGAGCUCCAUCAUCAGCUACCAGAAGUACCUAAAAACAAAACUGAAAACCGUAAGCACGAAGCUUAGUGAGUUCCCCACCCUACCACAUACCAUGCACAUAACUGUACACUGCACAUACUGGGCCACGCCCUCUAUCUAGCUGCAACUAACACAAACUGCAAAUACUGGGCCACGCCCGCUAUUCUAGGCCUCGCCCCUUACCACGGGCCUUGCCCGCUACAACGGCUCCGCAGCUCCAGGCCCCGCCUGGCUUCGAGCCCCGCUCGGAUACAGAUCUGUUUUACUUAGGCCCCGCCUGUCUCAGGGCCCCGCGCACUAACAUAUAAUAGCACAUACACAUAUCACAUAACAACACAUAAGCUAAACAUAUACUAACAGCUAUUGCUCUAAGGCCUUGCCUAUCUCUGGGCCCUGCCCGUGUCCUACUACUGAUGAGUCAUGGAACCCCGUCCAUACUCCUACUGAUAGUGAGAUACGGGCCUAGCCCACACUCACCCUUUCGUAACUUGGGCCUCGCCCCUGAUCAGCUGCUACUGAGAUGUGGAACACCAUCCACACUCUGCUAUUGGUAAGAUACGGGACCUCGCCCACACUCAGCUCCCUACCAGGCACAUACAAGUAUCACACAGACAACAAGUAUAACCUAUCACAUAAACCAUUCCUUGGGCACCCGCCCUCUAUCAUUGGACCUCGUCCGAAUAUCAUGCUAGCAUACUGUGCCUAAGGCUAACCCCCGGGACUUCUACUCACAACUACAUGGGCAUGCAUUGUGGCCGUAGACCCAUUCACACAAAAGGGAAACUCACCUGCACUGGCUGAUCUUGCUGAUGAUCCCACUGGUUGCUGCCCGACCACUCACUGAACUCCUACUCUACUUGCUUCCCGAGCUAUCAAUAUCAAUGAAACACUUAGUCUAACUGAUCCCCGGCAGUCAACCAAGUCAACUCUAGUCUAAGUCAAAGUCCUGGUCGAAGUCAACCUUCCAGGUCAACCCUACUCGCCGAGUCCACAUACUGACUCGCCGAGUUCUUAGGCUCAAAGUCCUUCCAAUCGCGACUUGACUCGCCGAGUCAGCCCCUGACUCGCCGAGUCUGCUGAUUCCCGAUUCCUGUCCUAUCCAACUCACUGAGUCCUGGCUCGACUCGCUGACUCGAGUCUUAACUCGAAGGGUUUGGGACCACUCGACCUGACUCGCCGAGUCUAAGAACAGACUCGCCGAGCACACGACAAACUUCAUCCAACUCGACGAGUUGUUCAUCCAACUCGCCGAGUUCAUGCCCAUCUUCAUCCGACUCGACGAGCUGUUCAUCCCACUCGUCGAGUUCCUCCUCAUCUUCAAGCUACUCACCGAGUCCACUCGAAGGACUCGCCGAGUCCAAUCGGUUAAACACACAUGCAGAGGACUUUUGAGUCAUGCAGGGACUCCAAACCAUAGAUCCAUACUUCCAAAGCUCAAUCCCUACGUAAAGUUGCAAACUUUACAUAUAACUAAAGAGAUCUAGGCUCAAAACAUACUAGGGUUUGGUUUAAGGACAAAAGGGCUUUACCAACUACUCAUCUCCUGAUGCUUUAUGACAUAUUGGACCAACCCAACAAUAGAUCUGAAGUGGCAACAACAUAUCUAAGCCCCUAACCCGAUUUGGGUCUCAAUCAACCAUAAAACCCCCAAAUCUCAAGACAAAAUAGAUCUAGAUGCAAAGAAGGGGAAAAUGGCAGCUUAAUACCUCCAAGAUGAACACAAACUGAAGUAGAUCUCGGGUAUACACCUUUCCUUUGCAGCAACCUUCUUGAUCUUCAAGUUCCUUUCCAAAGUUUCCUUCCUCCAAAGCUAUUUCUCUCAAUGAUGGAAGCUUUCACGAAUUAAAGGGUUUACAGGUCCUCUGGGUUGAUAUGGGAGUUGAGGGAGGGACAUAACACCGUUUAAAUAGGAUACAACUCCCGGAAUUAGGGCUUUCCUCGCACAGACCAGACUCGCUGAGUCACCUUGGCCGACUCGCCGAGUCGGUCACUUACUCAUCGACUCGGAUCCCACUCGGACUCGCCGAGUUCCUCCUUGGACUCGCCGAGUCCCCCUUAAUUUUAGGGUUUCCUUUACUUUCUUGGCUUUCAAAACUUUGGGUGUUACAACUCUCCCCCACUUAAACUAAACUUCAUCCUCGAAGUUUGCCAUGGCCCACCGCCUGAUCUGCCUCCAAUACCCCACCAGUUAAUCCAACAUCAGCUGCCUAUCUUCGCUGGUGUUCCUCCUGAUCAUUCUGACUAGCAUCGAUCCUUACGGAUUAUCAUCUCGGGUCAACUCUAACCCUGAACAUUCUGGAACCACAACUUACUCAACUGACAAUCCUUCUGGUACCUUCCGAGUACCGCAACUGAACCUAUAGGGGUUCACCCCUUCAUUCCUCACGCAAUUCCCUCGCCUUCCCAAGGCGACGCUCCAAUUUAACUGUCUCCUCAGUCACUGUGAAGAUCCCAUCUUCACCGAUCCCUUAUUCCCGCUAAAUCCAGUACGAGUCAUCACCGCCAAUAACCACUGACGCUCCUCCUUGCCAAAACUUGAUGCCGAGCACCUCUCGAUCAACCAACUGAAUUCAACCAACGUUGCAUACUCGCACUGCCACUGCUUGGCGGUACUGUUGUUCUUCUUCCGACUUCCGGAUGAACUGAGACCACCCUGGUCCCUACCAAGCCUAUCAAUAUCUGGUUUACCGGCUCCCACCGAUUGCUGACCCAACACAUCCCUUAGUCGCUCUCAGCGACUUCCGGAAGAACUCCAACCUCCUAGCACUGCUCAAUCUACCGCCAUUCCGGCGCCACAAUCCUGGGAUCCUCGAUCCCCUAACUCGACCCUAAGGUCCUUACCAGGUCCCACCUGUGAUGCUAAAACUCUCGGGCCUCGCCCACGGGUCCCACCCGCCUCUAACCUCCUAGUCCCACUAAUUUAACCACUCUCGCUCGGGCCUCGCCCAUGGGUCUCACCCAACCAUACUACUGAGCAACCCUGCUCUCAGGUCUCACCUUUACUGCUAGUCUCAUACGGGCCUCGCCCACGGGUCUCACCCACUAUAUUCUGGAGUGUCCUCUCCCAAGGUCUCCCUUUCUAGGGCUAAACAGGCAACUCCCUAUCAUUCGCAUCCACUACCCAUUCCUGAUCCCUAUCUGAUCACUAGGAGGUAAGGGCCUCGCCCCAACUCCGCUAACAAAUCUACUAAGGAAUGCUACGGCUUACCCGUAGUCUUACAUCACCACCCAAUGCUGACUGCUAGUACGAAGGCACUCAUGUGCCACUAGCUCUCAAGAUCCUUAUUCCGACUCCCGCGAGUCCUUCGGGCAAUCCACAACCUGAAUUCCUAUCCACGCACUAACCAUCACCAUCGCACGCGCUAGCUGCCGAAGCGUUUCUAAAACUCCCAAUCCUGAACCUUCAGUCCAUCAACGCUGAACUACUGCUUUUCCCCCUCGGAGGUCCUCUACUCACUCUGCGGCUGCAUGCUCCUGCCUGGGCACACUCGGAGGAUUCUCCCCCACUUCGAUCCUGCUUACCCCUCGCUGCUUGAUUACUCAAAAGAGAUCCCGAUCGUUUGCUGCCAUUCCAAUAUCAUUCUGCUAAGGAACCCAAGCCCGCCAUAGCUAGGGAUCUAACCAAUCCAUCCCUAACACUAGGUCGUCCCGAACUAGCGAGACGUACCAAAUUCCUCCCAAGCAUGCUACAGUUACUGCAUCCUUCGAGACCUUCUUCAAUAGGGCACAUCCCCUAACUAUCAUACAAAUAUCCAAGGUAUGCAGAUGGCAUACAACUCGAUCACAAUCAACUACCCAAAAUAAAAUACUUAUACCGAUACUGAUGCAGAACCAUAACAAUAUAAUCAUACACAAAUAAAAGAACUGAAAACAGAAGUCGCAUACCUGCCAUGUCCGGCGCUGCCCGUGCCUCCGAGGUCGUCAUCUGAAAAGCCCUGCUCCCUGCUGCAGGUGCCACUACCCGGCCCUGACGGCCAUCCGUGAUCCUCAUGGUUGCAGGGGCGGGUGCCACCACCCGUCCUGCCGAAAGCAAACUGGGACACUGGGCCUUCUUGUGGCCCCGUUGGUUGCGAUGAAAACAUAUCAAAUCAGAUCCCUGUGCGGUGGUAACAGUACAAUCUCUGCUAAAAUGACUAGUCCGACCGCACUUGAAGCAGCCAGACUCACCACCGCUACCACUCCUGCACGCGCCCCCGUGCGUCCUGCCACACUUUCCGCACCAACUGCGGUCUUGAUAAUCCCUCGAUCUCGAAUCCGAUCCCUUGGGCCUUUUGCCCGAACCCGUAGCUACCUGAACCUCAUCCGGCUUCCUUUUCCGAAUCUGCUCCAAAUCAAUUUCCCUUUCCCUGGCCCGAGAAAUCAUAUCUUCCAAAGUUUUGCAGCCGGACCUGCUCACAAACUCCCUGAUGUCAGCCCUCAACAUCUCAUGGUAUCGGGCCUUCUUCAUCUCCUCAUCCGCGACAUAUUGCGGCACGAGAAGAGCCCUCUCCCUGAACUUGGCGGUGAUCUCCGCCACAAUCUCAGUAGUCUGCCUCAAAUCCUGAAACUCUCGUGCCAGCUGCUGCACCUCAAUAGUCGGUGAGAACUCCGCUCUAAACAUGGCCGAGAAAUCACUCCAUGUCAUCGCGUCCAACGCGGCAUCGUCUCCCAGGGCAUGACCAAUCUCUUCCCACCAAUCCCUCGCUCUGUCCUUCAGAAGACAGGAGGCGAGUCUAACCUUGUCCCCCUCGGGACACUUGCUUGUACGAAAGGCAUUGGCAACAUCAGCCAACCAUCUGCUGCUAGUAAUGGGAUCCCUAGCCCCAUGAUAAUCUGGUGCCCCGCAGGCCCUGAACUCUCGGAAUGUCAGAGUACGCGCUCCCAACAAAGCCAUCAUCUCGGUAUGGAAGGCUCCCAGCCUCUCGUCUAAAAUCUCCAGUAUGCCCUCCUUGACCGUGCCAAAGAUCACAGGAGUCUGAUCUAGAAUACUGCGCGUAACUUCCGCUGAUAUCAACUCCCUCAUACGCUCCUCGAGCUACUCGAUUCCUGAACCCGAGCCUGAUCCUUCUCCGGCGCCUGAUCCGCCCACUGGUCUCUCUCGCAACGUCACCAUUCUGCACUCACAACACAAUUACUAUCAGAACGCUUACCACUGCUGCGAGACCCAAAAACACGCACCAACAGGUUCUCAGUCUUGUCUUGGCCUUUCCCGAAUCGAGUACGGAUCCUCUGCUUUCAGUAGUACGGGCCCAUACUACCUUCCACAUCUAUCCGUACUUUCCUCAAGAACUGCCUUGACUCCACUAGGUCCCUUUGCUACUAAUUCUGCUCCCAGCACUACCUCAUCCUAGGCUGACCCUAGGGAAACUUCUGACUCAACUCAAACCAGUCCUCAGCUGCUGAAGGCUUCCUCGCGAUGCCAAUUAGCCAUUACCUGGAUACCAUCACAUGUGACGAGGCUCAUAUAAUCCUUCGAGUAAAAGACUCGUCCCUACAACGGUUAGACUCAAACGAGAGCUGCGAAAUAGGGCCAAAUCCAGCACUCUGAGAUUAUACAACCCUGAUUACAUGUGACGUGGCAUAUCCACCUAAUAGCUAACUCCCAUCACUCAAAAUCCCAUAAUGCACAAAGCAAGCAGCAUUCGGACAAGGUAAAAGCUAACCAUAACAUACGCAAGCAAUCAUAUACACAUAGCAAGAAUCUGAUCUAGCAUGCAGCACAACUCAUAACGUCAGGCAUAACCUAAACAGGCUAUCCCACUACUGUCUAAUCAGCAUAAACAUGCAGCGCAAAACACAUAAUCAGGCAUAUAAGGCAUCCUUCCUAGAUCCUUAGCCCUAUUCUAGCAUGCAGUUCUACUAACUGAUAAUAAAAUCAUAAACUUGUAUGGGUAUUUUGGGGUACUUACUUGAGCUCGGCUGAUUGCAUGCACCACACCCAUUUUCUCUUUUCAAAGUUCUUUUCUUUCUCAAUUCUCUGUGUUUUUCUAAAACCAUUUUCUUUCUCAAAACCCUCUUUUACAAAAAUGUCUUUCUGUUUUAAAAACUUUUAUACCAAUUCCCCAGUUUGAGUUCAGACACACCCGAGAGCAUGUCUGAAUCCCUCAAACCAAGGCUCUGAUACCAACUUGUAACAACCCAAAAUUCAAGACUAAAAAUUUCUUUUAAUAAAAUAUUACUUAAAGUAAAAUCAUUGAUUCAAAGCAUAAUUAACAUUAAUAGUUUUCAAACACAUGUUCAUUAUUAGAAUAAAACAUUCCCAGGUUGACAAUCCUAUGGUGUGUGCCAUGCGAUCACCCCGAGCUCCAUCAUCAGCUACCAGAAGUACCUAAAAACAAAACUGAAAACCGUAAGCACGAAGCUUAGUGAGUUCCCCACCCUACGACAUACCAUGCACAUAACUGUACACUGCACAUACUGGGCCACGCCCUCUAUCUAGCUGCAACUAAAACAAACUGCAAAUACUGGGCCACGCCCGCUAUUCUAGGCCUCGCCCCUUACCACGGGCCUUGCCCGCUAUAACGGCCCCGCCGCUCCAGGCCCCGCCUGGCUUUGAGCCCCGCUCGGAUACAGAUCUGUUUUACUUAGGCCCCGCUUGUCUCAGGGCCCCGCGCACUAACAUAUAAUAGCACAUACACAUAUCACAUAACAACACAUAAGCUAAACAUAUACAAACAGCUAUUGCUCUAAGGCCUCGCCUAUCUCUGGGCCCUGCCCGUGUCCUACUACUGAUGAGUCAUGGAACCCCGUCCAUACUCCUACUGAUAGUGAGAUACGGGCCUAGCCCACACUCACCCUUUCGUAACAUGGGCCUCGCCCCUGAUCAGCUGCUACUGAGAUGUNAUCCACACUCUGCUAUUGGUGAGAUACGGGACCUCGCCCACACUCACCUCCCUACCAGGCACAUACAAGUAUCACACAGACAACAAGUAUAAACUAUCACAUAAACCAUUCCUUGGGCACCCGCCCUCUAUCAUUGGACCUCGUCCGAAUAUCAUGCUAGCAUACUGUGCCUAGGGCUAACCCCCGGGACUUCUACUCACAACUACAUGGGCCGGCAUUUUGGCCGUAGACCCAUUCACACAAAAGGGAAACUCACCUGCACUGGCUGAUCUUGCUGAUGAUCCCACUGGUUGCUGCCCGACCACUCACUGAACUCAUGCUCUACUUGCUUCCCGAGCUAUCAAUAUCAAUGAAACACUUAGUCUAACUGACCCCCGGCAGUCAACCAAUUCAACUCUAGUCUAAGUCAAAGUCUUGGUAGAAGUCAACCUUCCAGGUCAACCCUACUCGCCGAGUCCACAUACUGACUCGCCGAGUUCUUAGGCUCAAAGUCCUUGCAAUCGCGACUUGACUCCCCGCNNNNNNNNNNNNNNNNNNNNNNNNNNNNNNNNNNNNNNNNNNNNNNNNNNNNNNNNNNNNNNNNNNNNNNNNNNNNNNNGUUUGGGACCACGCGACCUGACUCGUCGAGUCUAAGAACAGACUCGCCGAGUACAAGGCAAUCUUCAACCAACUCGCCGAGUUGUUCAUCCAACUCGCUGAGUUCAUGCCCAUCUUCAUCCAACUCGACGAGCUGUUCAUCCCACUCGUCGAGUUCCUCCUCAUCUUCAAGCUACUCACCGAGUCCACUCGAAGGACUCGCCGAGUCCAAUCGGUUAAACACACAUGCAGAGGACUUUUGAGUCAUGCAGGGACUCCAAACCAUAGAUCCAUACUUCCAAAGCUCAAUCCCUACGUAAAGUUACAAACUUUACGUAUAACUAAAGAGAUCUAGGCUCAAAACAUACUAGGGUUUGGUUUAAGGACAAAAGGGCUUUACCAACUACUCAUCUCCUGAUGCUUUAUGACAUAUUGGACCAACCCAACAAUAGAUCUGAAGUGGCAACAACAUAUCUAAGCCCCUAAUCCGAUUUGGGUCUCAAUCAACCAUAAACCCCCAAAUCUCAAGACAAAAUAGAUCUAGAUGCAAAGAAGGGGAAAAUGGCAGCUUAAUACCUCCAGGAUGAACACAAACUGAAGUAGAUCUCGGGUAUACACCUUUCCUUUGCAGCAACCUUCUUGAUCUUCAAGUUCCUUUCCAAAGUUUCCUUCCUCCAAAGCUAUUUCUCCCAAUGAUGGAAGCUUUCACGAAUUAAAGUGUUUAUAGGUCCUCUGGGUUGAUAUGGGGGCUGAGGGAGGGACAUAACACCCUUUAAAUAUGAUACAACUCCCGGAAUUAGGGCUUUCCUCGCACACACCAGACUCGCCGAGUCACCUUGGCCGACUCGCCGAGUCGGUCACUUACUCAUCGACUCGGAUCCCGCUCGGACUCGCCGAGUCCCCCUUAAUUUUAGGGUUUCCUUUACUUUCUUGGCUUUCAAAACUUUGGGUGUUACAUAUAUAAUAUACAACAAUAUUUUAAAUUAGGACCAAAUAAUGCAACUAGCUAACCUAAAACCUUUAUGUAUAUGAUGUGGCAUGAUCUCUUCCUUUCUUAUUGUUGUGUCUUACUAUUUUAAAUACUAUAUGUAGAAACCAAAGGGCUUAUCGCCUAGCGGUAUCAGGAGUUGGAAAAGGUAUCUUCCUCCAACAGGUUGAUGUUACAAGUCUUGCUUGAGACACUGGUGUAGUUUAGGAUUAGAUUAGGAGCUAUUAAAAAUAAAUAAAUACAUGAAAAAUGUGUAAAAAAUAUCAGAAUAGUUAAUAUAUCUAUAUAAAUUGAUUUAUCAGAUCAGAUAACAUGGAUUCAACUUUGUGCAUCUUGGUUAUCCUACUUUAUGAAUUAUAUGUCUAUUCUAUGAUAUUAACAAACUUACCGAAAUGCAUAGGGUGAAGAUGAUAUUGACAUUUUUCAUAUGGGUGAAUGUGGUUACCUACUUACGUGCCAUUUACGUCAUUCCCUUUUAAAUUAGCAACUUCGAUAAGUGCUUUAUUCCAUCGGUCUAUCUUUUGAGCCCAUUGACUUCUUUUAUUUUCUUCUGUCUCUUCAUCCAUUUUCUGUUUAUGCUUAGACAUUGCAUCUCCAAAGCUACUUUGUUGCUUCGUGACAUGGGUGGGCUCCACUUGAUAAAAUAUUGGGAUGACAUUAUGGUUGGAUUUCAUACGCUGCUCAAGGAUCAAUACUAAUUCAUCAAGGCACCAUGUUGAAGAAGCGUAAUUUUUUGACAACACAAUAAUAGAAGCCUGAGAUGCCUUAAUUGCACUCUCCAAUUCCGGUUUCAGAUCUUCCCCUGUUUCAAUCUCUUCAUCAUCCAAGAAGGUAGUGAUAUUGGCAUCUAUAAGAGCCUCAUAAAGAUAAUUAGUAAAACUAAGACGAGUGUCAACACCUCUAAAACUUAAAAAUACAUCAUAUCUAUGAUCUUGAGUUGAUGAAUUAUGAACAUGAGUUAGUGAGCUAUGGCCAUGAGUUGACGAAGAAGACGAAGAUUUUUCUGGAAGUUUAGAUAGAAGAACCAUUAUGAGUUAUGUGUUGACGACUCUUCACCCUUCUCACGAUUUUGAGUAUUUAUUUGAACUUAAGGGUGUGUCUAAGUAAGCUUUGAAACUCCUCCACAUGUUAUCGAUAAUGUAAAGUUGGUUUCAUAUGCUUUCCUCACUUGUGCUUCAAUGUCAGGAUCCAGUACAUACUGCCUCUACAAAAAAUCCAAAUUAUUAGUAUUUACAAUAUGCAACGUAACUCUAAUCAAAGAAUUUAAACCUCAAUAAUUUUAGUAGUAAUAAUAAUAAUAAUAUUUAUACCUUUGAAUUCUGCAAAAUAAAUUUUUUUGGUAAUUAAAAUACAAUACAUAUGCAUCUCCAAAGUUUUCCAUGUGAACCAAUACACCUAGAAAAUCUUUAAAUCUCAUUAUAUGAAUUCUAAUCGUGUUGAUAUGCAAAUAUUUAUCCCCAAAUUUGAAGUUUAGAGUUGAUAUUGGAGCUAUAUAUUGCAUAAUGUUUAUAUGUGUGUUUUAACCCUCGAUUUAAUUUUUGUGUUUAAAGGACAUUCAUAGCUUAAUUAGUGCUAAACUCAGCUUUGUGUGCAAGCGACAUAUGGGAAUCAAGGAGAGAGAGACUGCUCUUAUUUUGAACCAACUAAUUUAUUUAACCUACAAUGUCCCUAUUUUGAUUUAAUUAACCCACAAACAAAUCAACACCAAAUACCAUUUUGGAUACAACUAAAGAUCCACUAUUGCUUCCCAUGAAAAUUCAGAUCCCAAAAAUGAGCAACAACAACCUUUUUAAAUGUAAAUUUUUCUAUCACUAGAUCUAAUAUGAUAUGUUUUUUUUCCAUAUGAUAUGUUUAUGAAACUAACAAUGUAAUCAGAGAGUUGCUAAUACAAUCACAGCGACUGCUUUCAGUUUGCACCUUGUGCAUCAAGGUAAACGAAACAGAAGAACAGGGGAUAAACAAAGAAAAAGGUAUCCUAGUCUAACUAACUCUAAAACUGGAAAAAAAACUAUUUAAAUAAAAACCUCCGAAAAUAUCCCUGAGGUUCUUUUACAGAAUUAAACCAACAAACAAGGCAUGCCCUUUCAAAGGGUUCAAUUUCAAACUCUAUACUAGAUGAAACUUCAAAGUAAAACACCCAUUUUGAAAAAUCGAAUAUUGAAGUUUGUUCGUUAUGAAGGUUUAGCUUACAAUUAAGGAGCAGAGAACAUCCUUUUAAAAGUAUUCAAUGUAAAAAAUCGUGUUUAUAAGUUAGAAAAUAUAGAGGAAUUGAGGAAGCAACUUUGGUGGGUUGAAGAAUUUCUCACUGUGAUUAUAAUAAUAUUUAUGAUUAAUAAGAUGAAAUUAUCAAACAAUAUCUGAAGAAUGUGCCUUCAUAGUUACCUGGCUACAGAAACACAAGGAGACCAGAAGCAGCCAUGAUAUAUAGAGGAUGAACCGAAAUUGAUGAAGCUGAAAAAGAAGAUGACUGAAACACAAGGUGUUGCUUUUCCUUUUAUUCUUUCAAGUAAACAUAUUAGGAGAAGAAGUCAGUUGAAAAAGCCAGUGCAAAUUUUAUAAUAGGUUUAAUAUUAAAGGGCUUAAAUUGUUUUUGGAGAAAAAGUCUUCAGCUUGUCCCCCAUAGAAAGUCAAUCUAAAAAAUGUUAUGAAAAUGCAGCGAAAUGUGUUUUUUGAAUUUUUGUUUUCCUACCUACUAUCACAUCUCACAUCUCAAUUUUAUACUUUUAGCUUAGGUUUUAAAUUUUCCCUCUUUGAGAUUGAAGGUUCAAGUCUCAUCGUAGAUAUAGGUGAAUUUAGGUGUUAGUUUAGAUCUUUAGGAGUAGUUAUAUAUUAUAUUUGCCAGUUAAAAAAAAAUUAGGAAUCGUUAAAACUUUGAUUUUUUUUUUUUUUUUUUUUUUUUUUUUUUUUUUANNNNNUUUAAAAUUUUUUUUUUUUUUUUUUUUUUUUUUUUUUUUUUUUAUGAAUAUAGUCUAAACAUUUUUAUGUUACAAAUUCGCUCAUAAUUCUUUUUUUCAUAUUUUUAUGGUUACCAUUUUACAACUUUGUUUCCAAUCUGUUUAAAGACUAUUUUUAAACUUUUUAUGAACUUUUUUUAAAAAAUCUUACAACUUUUUUAUAAUCUUCUAUUACUUUUUACAAUUAAAAAAAAAAACAUGUUUUAUGUUUUAUAAUACAGGAUUCUAAACUUGGUUUACAUUUUUAGAUGUUCCAAUGACAAUCUCUUGAUGAUAAGGUGAUUGGAAUGACAUGAGAAAAAUAAAAUGCAUAAUCAACAAAAAAUGUUGUAACCGAGCAACACAAAUUUAUGAACUUAAGGGUUUUUGUAACAAAAAGAGCAUCAAGGAACAGAAAACUUAUGGCUACAUAAUUGACUUUCCUAGUUAUAUCACUUACAAUUUCACCUUAUUGAACUAAGUAGCAGCAAAACAAUGAACCGUGAGAAUCAUGGUAACUCAUCAAUCGCAUUUUAGUAUUUCUCUUAGUCAAAUGAACCAAAUCAGCAAAAUAAAAAAAUAUAUAAAGUAAUACAAACAACAUUCCAAGUAUUAUUAAUUAUUGAUAGUUGAUAACAUAUUUGGUGAGUCUUUGUAAUAAUAACCUUUGUUGAUACCUAAUGAUUUAAAGGGCUAGGUUGAGUAAAUGUGAAACUAUUGUUGGAAACUAUUAGUUGAGAUAACGACUUGAGUAGUUAUAAACUCAUUAAUUGGUGGAACCAUGUGGUAAAACCUAUUAUGAGUAUAUAUUAAGUUAUGUGAAAGGCAUUAUGAGAUUUAAUUAAGUUGUUACUGAAUUUAACAAUAUAAUUGAUUUUGAAGUUGUUACACAACAUUUUGUUGGAGUUACCCACUAAGCUCUCAUAGCUUACUUGUAACACCCCGUUUAUUUGAAUAAAAUAACACAUGAAAGUCCAGGACUAAAUUGUGAAGAAUUUUAAAAGUCAGGGGUUUAAAGUGAAAAUUCGGGACUUAAAUUGAAAAGAAGUGAAGGCUUAAGGGUUUAUUGGUAAAUUAAAUAUUUAAAUUGAAAAAAUUUUAUAGAGUCAAGGGCUAAAAGUGUAAGUGUUGGAUUUAAAUUGAGAAUAAAUUAUGGAGGAGCGGUUGUUUAGUAAUUUUGGGCCUUAUUAUGAAAAGAAUUUUAGAAGCCGGGGUCAAAAGGGUAAUUAUUGGAUUAUAUUUGAAAAGAUUCUAAGGGGAGGGACUAGAACUAUAAAUAUGGGAAAGAUCUAUGUGGAGCCGGGUAUAAAGCAUGACAUCCGGUCAAACCGUAACCCGAGAUGCUUCAGUUGGCCGCCACCUUCACCAUAUCGCCCUCUCCAGCCGCCUCCUUCCCUAUUGAAGCCGAAGCUCCCGUCGUCAACCACUGCUAUUGGAGUCGGCAACCCCCCCCCUUCCCCGCGCCACUCAAUGUGUCACUAUCGUCGUCGUCAUGCUCCGCUAGAGGCGCACCCUUCAUUCCUCGUUGUAGCAACCUUCUCUCUCACUCCUACAAUUUAUUGCUGUCGGCACAACGAACCUGUGGUGGAACCACCGUUCUUCUCUCCGGUGGAAGCGCCUUUUGUCGUUUCUUCUCCGUCUGUGGCAGCAUGGCGAUCCACUGCUGCGCCACAAUCGACGAAGACUUGGAGUUGUCGCCUUCUCCGGUCGUGGGUUUUGUCAAGAAGGCUGGUCACGGAUUUCGUUGUCGUUAUCUUGGUGGGAGACCGAGAACCUCCAUCUUCUCUUCCUUUUUCUGUUGAUGCACCACGGUCGUCGGCGCUCAAUGUUGUUGCCGCCACUCCGAGUUGCCACCGCCGACAUACGCCACCAGGUGGGUGGCUGGGUUCCGCCUUCAAGCAGAUUAUGCGUGGGUGUAUUCUUUUUGUGUGUGUGUGUUAAUUAGUAUGUUUGUGUAACUUAGUGUGUGUGUUGUGUGUUUGGAUUUGUUGUUGUAACUGUAAUCGGUGCCGGAAUAAUAUUAGAGAAACUCCAAACCACCACCGUAAGGUGGUGGUUGCUGCCUCCUGCCGCCACCGGCCGUCGUGUCAGGUGGCGGUGUGCUUUGAUUGCGUUUAGACCUCGUUUGGGAGUGGUUGGACAAUGUGGAAUCAAGGAAAAACCCUAAUGGGUCCAAAGAAGCCCUAGUGGGCCCGAUGGAACCCUAAUGGGCCAUUAAGGCCCAAAGAGACCUAAAAGCCCAACUAAUGGACAAAUGGGCUAGUAUUGGGUUGGAAAACCCUAAUUAGGGUUUGGAAAACCCUAAGAGCAUAAAACCCUAAUUGGUGGGAAUUGAUCGCGUCACAUGGGGAUUAUUUAAUAAGCUUAAUAUAGUAAAUUAUAAUCAUGCGUAAUUAACCAAGGCAAUGAUGGACUUAAUGGAUUAAGUCCUUAAUGGGUUAAGUAAAAAACACUUAACCCUAAUCGUCAUUUUAUGUGAAACCCUAGUUUCACUUGGGCCUUUCAGUUGGGCUUUAGUAAUUGGUUUAUUAAUAGGCCAUCCAAGAAUAAUCAAAUGGACUAAAUUAUUUAGUUGGGCUUUAAGGUAAGGCCCAUAUGAAGGAUUGGGCCUAAUUUGGUAAAUUGGGCCAUAGAUGGGCCAUAAUUUGGGCCUAGAUGAUUGUAUGAUACUGGGCCUUAGAAUGAGACAUGUUGGGCUGGAUUGAACAUUUGGGCCUUAAGGGAAGUCCAUGUAGAGAUUUGCGUCCAAUUUGGAAAGUUGGGCCAUGUGUUAGGCUUUGAUCCCUAGUUAACUUUGGGCCUAUGGAUUGGGUCUUGGGCUUGGGUAAGCCAAGCUAGGGGUAAUGUAGUAAUUAUCCAAAGUAUGUAUUUAUAGUUAUGUUGUGGAACCUAAUUAUUAAUUGGGUGUUAUUUUGAUAUGGACAGAUCGGGAAUAUGUCAUCGAGUAGAUAUGGUUCUGUCAGCGGGACUUCAGCAGUGUGAGGUGAGUUUCCUUCCAGUAGGAAUGAGUCUAUGGCCACAAUGCCGUCCCGUUUAGUUAGCAGUAGUUCCGGACCUCAGUCUGAUGCAGUAGUUCAGUAUGCUUGGUGUCUUUGUGAUACAGGCAUGGUAUGAGUUAGGUGUUCCGGACUAUGGUCUGAUGCAGUAUGUAGUAUAUGUGUUCAUAUUAUAUGCUAUGAUCAAUUAGUUCCAGACUUCGGCCCAAUGCAGUAGUUAGAGUGCGUGAUGUCUUUGUGAUUCAAGCAUGUUUUGUGUUAUGUAUUCCGGAUUCUGUUCCGACGCAGUAUGCACUAUAUGUAUUCAUGAUAGUUGAUAUGUUUACGAUAUGCUAUGUUCAUCCGGACUUCGGUCCGAUGCAGUUAGUUCCGGAAUUUCGUCCGAUGUAGUUAGUUUCGGACUUUGGUCCGAUGCAGGGGACGGGGUCCCAGUCAGUUCCGGACUUCAGUCCGAUGCAGUCAGUUCCGAACUUUGGUCCGAUGCAGGGGACGGGUCCCAGUCAGUUCCGGACUUCGGUCCGAUGCAGUUAGUUCUGGACUUCGGUCUGAUGCAGGGGACGGGUCCCGGUCAGUUCCGGACUUCGGUCCGAUGCAGUUUUCGGACUUCGGUCUGAUGCAGUGGGCAAGGCCCAAUAUGUGUUUAUAUGUUAUUGUAUGGUAUGUGGUAGUUUGGGGGAGCUCACUAAGCUUCGUGCUUACAGUUUCCGUUUUGGUUUAAGGUACUCAGUUUUCAAAAGAGGAGCUUGGGAAGAUUGCAGUGCACGCACCAUUUGUUCAGCCUGGGUGUUUAUAUUCUGAUAUACUUGACAGUUGUUAUAAUAUUUUGAGAUACAUUGCUCAUGAUUUAUAUAUGAGGUUUAUUGACUAUGAUUUUUAUUAUUAAAUUAAACGAAAUUUUUCAGACUGUGUUUUUUGGAUGUUACAUUACUUUUAUUAUUGUUUGCCCUUCAGCAUGUAGGUUAUAAAGCUAAUAGCUAAGAGAUGGCAGAACUAUAGAAGGAUGCUAAUGCUUGACUCGGAUCUUCGUAUUACUAGUGUUGUAUACGAUCAUUUUGAUAACUUAUUGUAUUUAACUAGUUAGUAUAAGUGUACACCAAGUUGUUUUAUAAAAUUAAAAAGAUUAGAUGUACCUUGUAUUAAUUUGUUGGGUGUUACAUCUCAGUCUUCUUGGCUAUUGUUCAAAAGAAAAUGUAUUCUUAACUCAAUUUUUAGACCUUAAACUCUCAUAACCUACCUGGUAUGAAUACACAUAUUCAUGGUAGAAAAGUUCUUUGUCACAACUUUAGUAUCUGCUUAACUCAAAAAUUCUUAAAAAACACUUUUCAUGAAUGCAAAAAGAAGUACGUAUAAUAAACAAAUAGCACACAAAGUUUUAUAGAAAGGAAAAAAUUCUCAAUACAAGCAAAAUCAUAUAUAAGGACCUAUAUGCAUGGGUAGAAACUAAACUGAUAGUCAACUAUAAAGUCAAUACUACUUUCUUGUUACAUCGUCUUGUCUUGAAAUGUCAAAAGUAUACAUUAUCUCCUCAUUCACCAAUUUCUUCAAUGAGACCAAACACAUAAAUUCAUAUACAUAUUAAAAGUACUAUUUUUAUUACACCUUAAUUUAGUUAUUAGGCUCAAUAAUAUUUAUAUCUGUUUAAUUAGUUGCUCCACCUAAAUAAGAUGAAACUAAACAGUUACCGUCUAUUUAAAACUAUUCGUCAACUAAACAAAUGAUCAAGCUAAUAAGCCCAUACGAAUAUUCUUAUGAUAUGUUUUAUAUAUUCUCACAAUUAUGAUUAAAAAUCACUUAAAUUAGAUUCACUUUAUAAUUUGUACAUGGAACAUAUAUAAUGGUAUCGACUUAGAGAAUCUAAUGGAUGGAUAUAUUUAGAAAAUUAACAUUUAGCAAUUAUUUUAAACUACAUAGAUUUCACUUCAAACAUUUUGGAAAUCUUAUAAACUUAUAAAAGCCCAAAGCCUGAAAUUCAAUUGUAGUUAGCCCAAUAUACCUAUUAUUUAGUUUAACAACCACUUUAUUUAAUCCAAUAACUUAAGCCCAAUAAGAGAUCUUUCAAUAUGUUUUCUAAUCUUUUGAAAAAUGAAAAUUUGAGCCCAUUACCUAAUUUAUAAUGUCGCUCCACCACAAGAUCUCCUCUUGUUCAUGUACACUGCUCCGGCGGCGGCAAUUAAUCGACCACCGUAUUAUGUGGUUUACCGGGAAAAAAACAUGAUCUCUCCUCUCCAAGCCAUGCCUCCCUCGUCGGAGUCUUACUACAUUCUCGUAAACCACCACAGUUCAUGGUCUUUGUUGGAAUUAGGAUUGAACUUGUCACUUUACUCAUGCCGGAGAAAAACCUAAACAAAGCUGAUCAGAAAAUUCUUGUAAGUCAAUGAAGUCUAUGCUGGAAAACGGAUCAGAAUACCUUUUCCCUCACAUGUCGCUGGAGGUCAAGUGAAUAACACAAAACUAUAUACUCAUCGUUUCACGCUCCUUAUAAUUGUAACAUCACAACCCUGGCUGAAAACUAAGCUCCAGAAAUCAACUUGACAUCCUCCGGUGGCUCUUAUAGAUCUGGGUAUGUAAUUCAUGUCGGAGACUCUACAAUCUAGAUCUGAACAAUAAAUUGCUUUUGUCUUGGUAAGUUCUGGCAACUGCUAGCGUUAUUCGCCAUCUGGUUUUCGAAAUCCAGUUCCUUCUCCUAGUAAAUCAUGAUGUGGAGUUGUGGACUCCAAGCUUCUCUGCAGCAAACGGGAUUUUGGUGAUAGUCGUGAAAGCAUCAGAGAUAAUAAAUUAAUAAUACACGUUAGUGAAGUUUCAAGUCAUGUGGUUUACAAAGGUCAACAAAGGAAACCAAAAAGUUGGAUGCUAGGUACCACAUGAGGCUUCUUCUGAUCAAUUCUAGGCACUUCAUCAUCGGCUAGUAAUAUGUCUAAGUGAAUAGAUGGAAAAUCAUAAAAGGAGAAGAGAAUCAGAAGUAGUGAAACAGGUUUGUUGUCUUAGGAAAAAGAAAAGUUGAAUGUGAUGUCAAAUUAUUAGAUAAGGAUAUUAUAUCCUGUUCGAUAAUGAAAUUUUUACAGAAACUGGUUACAUGAGAGGACAUCGAUCAAUAGGCUAGUCAUGGGCUUGUUCAGUUAAUAACGUGCUGCUAUAAAGGCAUAUCCCGCUAAGUAACAUAAAAAAUGACAACCUCUGCAAUAAUUUUACUUCCAAAAAAGACAACUCAUGAAAAAUUAAAAAGCUAUUCUUAAAAUAACCAAUGAAAAAGAUAGAGAUUCGAAAAAGGUCUGUAUAAACAAGUAGCAGCAAAACAUUCAACCGUGAGAAUCAUAGCAAAUCAGCAAUCACAUUUCAGUCUUUUCUUUCAAUCACAACCAACAAAAUAACAAACAUAUAAAGUACAUUAUGACUUUACACGUGUAUUAAUUAACUAAAAAACCAUUAAUAUUGUUUUCCUCUGUUUUUGGCAAUCAAAUAUACAGCUAUCAAAAACAAAAACUGAAAAGAUAAAUCGUUACCAGAGGUGACAAAAGCCAAACCAUCUUAAUUAUUCAGGAAAAGAUUAGGAUAUAACUCAUUGAGUUACAUUAGUAUUACUAUUAGGUUACCCAUCUGACUAAAUGCAUCUAUUUUGAAUUCAGACAGCCAUAUACUGCAGCCUCUCUUUCUCAAGUAUUUUCAUGUUAAGGACGAGACCCUGAAGAUUCCCCUUUAUCCUACGAAAAAAAGGAAACGUAAGAAUAUCUUUAACGAAACAUAAGUAUAUAGAGAUCUGAUACAAAAUGCUAUGAAAACAGAUAGAUGGCAAUACAAUACACCAAGAUCUAUUUAUGUUUGUUUGUACAUAUAUGUGACUCAGCUAAAUAAAUGUGGGACAUGUUAAAGAAUAACAUCAAAAGGAUCAGAACAUGUCCAUAAAAAUAGAAGACUACAAUAAAUCAAUUUUAAUACAUCAGCUGCGGAGGCAUGUAACAGAAACCCUUGCUUGUUAGCAAGUUGAAAAGGCUUCGAGUGAAAAAAGAUAAACAUUAAAUUUAUGUCUAUUUUUGGAGGUCAAAUGUAAAUAGUGAGACUUGUAAUCUCUUAAGAAUACAUGAUGUUCAUGGAGAAGUAGCAUAACACUAAAAACUUAUUGGUUAAAGUCCAAUACAAUGUGGUGGAACAUUGCCAAUGAUUGAGGGAAUUUAAUGACCUCUGGUAGUCAAAUAAUAGUUCAAGUUUAUAUAAAGUUUAUCAGAGGAAAUACACACAAUGAACCGAACCCCUGUGCGUUUGCUGUAUAAUAACCAGAAAUAAGGGAUGAGGAAAGAAGUUAUCAUCUAUUUGACAAUAAAUGCUUAAGAUAUCAUGUAUUUGACAUAAAAACAAACAUAAAUAAAUAAAACCAAAAGACCUUGAUAACAACUAAAAACCCUGAAUUUAGAGCCCUAAAUGGAUGAAAUAGGGAUCCAUAAUUCCUGACUCUAAGAUUAAAUAGGUAGAGAAAAAUAGACAGAUUCCCAUCAUAUCAGCCCAACCACAUUUUGAUAUUGCCAUUUCCAAGCAUUGAUUGAAAGAUUAUGACUCCUUUUAUCU